rnacentral:rRNA from 1 species
AGAGUGAACGCUGGCGGUAGGCCUAACACAUGCAAGUCGAACGGCAGCACAGUGGUAGCAAUACCAUGGGUGGCGAGUGGCGGACGGGUGAGGAAUACAUCGGAAUCUACCUUUUCGUGGGGGAUAACGUAGGGAAACUUACGCUAAUACCGCAUACGCCCUUUGGGGGAAAGCCGGGGAUCGCAAGACCUGGCGCGGAUAGAUGAGCCGAUGUCGGAUUAGCUAGUUGGUGAGGUAAUGGCUCACCAAGGCGACGAUCCGUAGCUGGUCUGAGAGGAUGAUCAGCCACACUGGAACUGAGACACGGUCCAGACUCCUACGGGAGCAGCAGUGGGGAAUAUUGGACAAUGGGCGCAAGCCUGAUCCAGCCAUACCGCGUGGGUGAAGAAAGG